GAUGAACGCUGGCGGCGUGCCUAAUACAUGCAAGUCGAGCGAAUGGAUUAAGAGCUUGCUCUUAUGAAGUUAGCGGCGGACGGGUGAGUAACACGUGGGUAACCUGCCCAUAAGACUGGGAUAACUCCGGGAAACCGAGGCUAAUACCGGAUAACAUUUUGAACCGCAUGGUUCGAAAUUGAAAGGCUGCUUCGGCUGUCACUUAUGGAUGGACCCGCGUCGCAUUAGCUAGUUGGUGAGGUAACGGCUCACAAAGGCAACGAUGCGUAACCGACCUGAGAGGGUGAUCGGCCACACUGGGACUGAGACACGGCCCAGACUCCUACGGGAGGCAGCAGUAGGGAAUCUUCCGCAAUGGACGAAAGUCUGACGGAGCAACGCCGCGUGAGUGAUGAAGGCUUUCGGGUCGUAAAACUCUGUUGUUAGGGAAGAACAAGUGCUAGUUGAAUAAGCUGGCACCUUGACGGUACCUAACCAGAAAGCCACGGCUAACUACGUGCCAGCCGCCGCCGUAA
rnacentral:rRNA from 1 species